rnacentral:misc_RNA from 1 species
GGGUGGCUUCACCACUGGUGGUGUAAGAGUGGGGGGCUUGACCACUGGCGGAGAAGAAAUGGGUGGCUUAACCACUGGUGGUGUAGGAGUCGGUGGCUCGACUACUGGCGGGGCAGGAGUUGGGGGCUUGACCACUGGUGGGUAAGGAGGAGUUGGUGCCUUGACUGGGGGUGCAGGAGUGGGAUUCUUGGCGACUGGUGGUACAGAAGCUGGUGUUGGGGCGACUAGCAUUUUGGAAUAAGUGAGCUUCUGCAAGAACUCUUCACUGGGAAAUGAAGCCUUUGCAGCAGUAAGUAAGAGAAAAGAGGUAACCAGAAACAACGCAGCCUUCGCAGCCAUUGCAGGAAGCAAGUCUUGAGGGGUGUGCAGUUGAAGGAGAAGGAACAAGCGGGUUUAAAUAGAGUAACAAGGAGGUGAAGAUUGAUUGAAUUAAAUGUGAAUGCCAGCUAUUUCUGAUCACAUUGACAUAAGAGUAAUGGAUGGCUGUCCAAAAUCUGACUUAAGGCUCGACCCACAUGCCCUAAGGAGUGUGUCUCCUAAUUGACAAGCUUUAUCUUUUCAAUCAUGUCACUCAGCGACGGUGUGCACAGGCACAGCCCUUGAUAUUUUUUUUUUAUUAACCCGAUCUGUUCUUUACAAACAAAG